rnacentral:misc_RNA from 1 species
AUAACCUAGUUAGUGAUUGAUUAAUUGCUUAAUACUCUUCAUCUGUCUCUUUAUACCUCUAUUAACCGGCAAUUCGAUUAAUAAUAGUUUUUUAUUAUUUCUAUGUGCCUAAUUAGAAAGAUACUUAUUUUAAUAUUGCUAACGAAUAUAAUAUUUUUAUAAACUAUUUUCUGACAGCAGUAGGCUGAGAGAAAUUUUACGUUAGGUGCUCAUAAAGUAUUUUGUAUUGAUUUGUCUUCCAACAAUUUGCAAGUAAUAAAAUUAAAACUUUGCCUACGAAUCAAACUAUACACACUUAAUUCAGUACCACAGUGACGGUUUAGGUUGCGAUAAAGAUGUAUUUUUCCCUGUAUUGUAUUUUAUUAACAGUACUAAAUAUUGUGGCUUCAUCAAGAGUUUUAGAAUUAAGUGACAAAUUUAUUGAUAUCAGUAGUGAUGGCAUGUGGUUUGUGAAGUUCUAUGCGCCAUGGUGCGCUCAUUGUCGCCGUUUGGAACCGAUCUGGGCACAUGUAGCCCAAACUCUCUACAAUUCACCAAUAAGAGUAGCAAAAGUUGACUGCACACGGUUCCCAGCAGUAGCUACUCAUUUUAAAGUACGAGCUUAUCCUACUAUAAUGUUCAUAAAGGGUUCAUUUUAUCAUGAAUACAAUGGUGAGAGAUUGAAAGAAGAAAUGGUAAAUUAUGCAUUGCGAAUGUCUCAACCAGCUAUCCAAAAAGUGUCACAUGCAGAUAGCAUAGGAUAUUUAAAAGAAGCUCAUCCUGUGUUCUUUGGAUAUAUUGGAAAACAGCAAGGACCUUUGUGGGAAAUGUACACAUUACAUGCAGAAAAGUAUCAACCACACACAUGGUUUUAUUCCAUGUCACAUGAAAUGGUAAUGAAUGAAUUUAAACCUCCCAAUGAGACAGCACUUUUUGUCUACAAAGAAGAUGACAUAUUUUUCUUUGAAGCAAGUUCAGCUGUAUUUGAAGACAAAGAAGCUUUGAAUGUUAGUCUAGACAAAUGGAUUAACUCGGAACGAUUUGGCUUUUUUCCGAAGAUCACCAGAUCUAAUAUAAAUGACUUAAUGGACACAGAAAAAUAUAUAGUUAUUGCUGUUGUUUCUGAAAACAAACUUAGUGAAAUUACACAAACAGAAAGGGACUUUAAAGAUAUGAUUGAGGGGAUCAUCAAGAAAAGGAAACGGGAGCUUCAUCAUCGAUUCCAAUUUGGUUGGAUGGGUAAUCCAGAACUGGCAAAUUCUAUAGUAAUGUCAGAAUUGACAGUACCACAUCUCAUAGUACUAAAUUCUACUACUAGCCAUCAUCACAUCCCUGACGAUGACCCAGUAUUAAUGACGCCAGAGGCCGUUUCAAUUUUUCUUGAUCAAAUACAUGAUCAAAUAGCACCAGCAUACGGUGGCAACAGUUGGCCAGUUCGGUUAUACAGAGGGUUUUUUGAGGCCAGAACAACUCUAACAAAUAUGUGGCGUGGUAAUCCAGUAUUAACAGCUUUGGUUUUUGGAUUACCACUUGGUUUUCUAUCUCUUAUCUGCUAUUCAGUUUGUUGUGCUGACAUACUUGACGCCGACGAGGAAGAAUCAUCAGAUACACACGAAAAGAAAGACUAAGUAUGGGCUACUAAAAGAAAGGAUAAUAGUAAAAAAACAAGUCAAGUUAUACAUGGAUUUUUUAUUCUAGUCGGUUAAUUAAAAACUGCUGAAAUGUCAAUGCCACUAGCACAAUUGCUAAAUCAUGAACAAUAUUUGUCAAUGAAUUUCACAAGCCAACGAACGUAGAAUGGUAUCACCAGUAAAAUGAGUAAUUAGCAUUAAUUUAUUAUGUUUUUCUGAGUGAAAUAUUGUCACUUUUAUUUUUAAGGAAACCUAUUCUAUGAAGUUAUGUAAUCUUGAUUUUACAAAUUAUGUUAAUUUGGACUACCUUGCGAACGAACUCACGGGUACUGCUUAUCAUAAAAAAAUAUGUAUAUUAAUUGGCACAAUCAUAUAUAUGCUUUUGGUUAUAUGAUUUACAUCAGGUCUCAUACCGUGUGUCCAAAAUAAAUAGUAGCCUUCUUUUUUAUUAAGACAUGUCCAUCUCAGACCAUUUGUUUUAAGUGUUGUGCCCCACUUCUGUACUUUUCGACGGUAGUAUGCAUUUCUCGCAAAAGAGAAUGCAAGUCUGUACUUGCAUUUGCUUUUUAUAACAUUGUAUAUAUUGACUGGGCCCAAAUUUAUUACAGUCCAGAAACUUUUCUUGUUAUUGUAUUAUAUAUUAAAGAGUUUUCGAAUGUGGAAAGAAUUUGGCUGCCAAUACAAAUAUUCUAUACUAUCUAUCUUUACGCUAAGACCCUUACAGGUUUAGGAGGACAAACUAACUGGCAAAGGCAUACCCUAGAGGGAGACUUUGUACAAAAGUCGAUUGCUUGGGUACCUCUGUCCCAUUCGUGUUUCUACCGUGAAGCAGUUGUGUUUGCAUAGCUGUGUACAUGAAUUUACAGGGUACAGAGAAAUAACACCUGAGUCCUCAAGAAUGGCAACGCUUGGGGGGUAUCAUGGGCGAAACAGUAUACUCUGUUAUGUCCAUGGCACUGUUCAUGUCUAUAGGCGACGGUUACCACUUUCCAUCAGGUAGGCCAUCAGCUUGUUUGACAUUCUAAGUUGUAUAAAAAAUAAGCAAACCUUUACAUCCCUUGUUUUAUGCACUUUUAGAUUCAUGCAUGCACAUCGGUUCCAGAGAUGAAACUCCUCCCUCUCUCCUAUAAUAGUGAUCAUAUAUAUUUUCAAAAUGGGCCAUGUCAGUAGAAUAACAUGUUAGGUACUGCAUUGAAGACUUAUUUCUAUUCAUCAUAAUUAUAUCUUGGACUUUUCAAAACAUUUCUAGGUUUUAAUUUGUUUAUAAUGAACUUACAUCACUAUUGAAAUUAUGAUGUUUGUAAUUUCAUAAUCAUUCAUCAUUUAAUAUUGUAAACUAGUAAAUAACCAUGAAUAAGUUUAAAACAUUUUAAUAAUUAUUUAAUGUAAUAAUUACUUAACAAAAUAUUAUUUGUAAUUUAAAUUGGCAGAAAAAUGUUCUUUAUUUUUUUAAUUUUACUAUCAUUUUCUAUUUUCCUAAUUGUUGUAUGAAGAUAUAUAUAGAAAAAAAACUAUGUAUUAAAAACAUGUUUUAUAUUAAAAUAAGUUAUCCAUCUUUAAAAAAAAAUUUAAAUAGUGGACCUUACAAAUCAUAUAAAAUCAUUACAUAACUUGUGAACAAAGAUUCGUUUGCACAGAUGUAAUUAAUAAGUUUUAAAACUGAUCACCAAUAAUUAGAACUGGGUAGAAGUGACAUCAUUGCAUUUCUAUUUACUUCUGUUUAUCAGCUUCAUCAUUCAAGACAUGUAAGUUUUGUAAUCAAGACAAGAAACUGCAGUUAAAGCUGGUAUGUCGCUGUCUUGUAUAAUUGUGUCAUCGCUGCAUUGUUUCGUAAUUAUAUAAUAGAUUGAAACGGUUUGUUAAUUGGAUUAUAACAAAAAUCGCAUUAUCAGGUGCUUAACUACAAAGUGGCAAUAGAAAGAAAUACAAAUAUUAUAUAAAUUACUAUACAGAAAUGUAUAGAAAAGUUAAAAUGUACUGCAUCAAGUUAUCCAUAUAAUAUUUUAUAAUUUUAAUGCUGUUUAAAUACAUAAAGAUGAAAUCAUAUUAAGGGGGGAGAAAAAAAGUAACAGUACUCCUGUUUUUUAUACUGACUUAAAAGUAGCAUAUUAUUGUCGUAAGAAUUAAUACUAAUUCAUAGUAUAUUUGAUUUUUAGCGCAUGUAAAUAUGUAAUGAAUAAUUUUUUACACUAAAUUAGUAUUAUAUAGAUUGUGAUAAAAGUGUACCACUUGGAUAUUUAAUAAUUUGCAUAGGUAACCUUGUCUCUAUCAGAUUAUUGGCAUAAUGUGUAUUGGUAAGAAAAUAGUAUGAUGCUGUGACUUAAGAUUUUGAAUAUCACGAUGUCAGUAAAGUGCAAAUUUGCUGACUUUUUUGUUUAGCAAGUGCUAAGGGAGGUAUCAUAAGAUGUGGUGGACAAGUAUCAUCAUUCGCGUUCCCUAUUAUAAGGUGGAUUGUAUACUUGAUUAUCAACAAAUGUUUAUGUUAAUAAAUAUGACUAUUUAUUACUAUGUGGUCUUCCAGUGAAAUUGAUAUAAAGAAUCAGGUCGUAAUUUAAAAAAAAAAAAGUUUGAAUCACCCAUACAAACACAAAGCGUUCAACAGUUAAGUUUAUAAAGAAGGCUUAAUAUUUAUUCUCAUUUUAAAUUUUUGUUUCACAAAAAGCAUACCGAAAGUAGAUUCUUACGUUUUAUGUACGGCUAACCUAUUCGGUAUUACACUGCAUUGUUGUUGUAUAAUGCAAAACAAUAUAUACGUUUCAAUUUGUGACAAUUCUCAAAAGCGUCCAGUAUCAUUUCUAGGCAGUUGUUAGCUAUUCUUAUUUAAUAAAGUCGAAAUUGAUUUAGCUAAUAGAUGUAAAUAUUUCAAUUUCAUCUUGUAGUCAUGGUGUGCAAUAGAGAGAUGAGACAAAACUAUUUGUCUAUUGUUUAUAAAGUUCGUGUUAAUAUUAAAAAAAAAA